GGGCGCAUAGCUCAACUGGCGGAGCACAGUCCUUACAAGACUGGGGUUGCAGGUUCGAGUCCUGCUGUGCCCACAA
rnacentral:tRNA from 1 species